AACGAACGCUGGCGGCAGGCUUAACACAUGCAAGUCGAACGCAUCCUUCGGGGUGAGUGGCAGACGGGUGAGUAACGCGUGGGAACGUGCCCUUCAGUUCGGGAUAACCCAGGGAAACUUGGGCUAAUACCGGAUACGUGCGAGAGCAGAAAGAUUUAUCGCUGAAGGAUCGGCCCGCGUCUGAUUAGCUAGUUGGUGGGGUAAUGGCCCACCAAGGCGACGAUCAGUAGCUGGUCUGAGAGGAUGAUCAGCCACAUUGGGACUGACACACGGCCCAAACUCCGACGGGAGGCAGCAGUGGGGAAUAUUGGACAAGGGGCGCAAGCCUGAGCCAGCCAUGCCGCGUGAGUGAUGAAGGCCUUAGGGUUGUAAAGCUCUUUCGUCCGGGACGAUAAUGACGGUACCGGAAGAAGAAGCCCCGGCUAACUUCGUGCCAGCCGCCGCCGUAACAC
rnacentral:rRNA from 1 species